rnacentral:rRNA from 1 species
GAUGAACGCUAGCGGCAGGCUUAACACAUGCAAGUCGAGGGGUAUAGGUUUUCGGACCUAGAGACCGGCGCACGGGUGCGUAACGCGUAUGCAAUCUACCUUUCACAGAGGGAUGGCCCAGAGAAAUGUGGAUUAAUACCUCAUAGUAUAGCAGUUUCGCAUGAAGCCACUAUUAAAGUUCCAACGGUGAAAGAUGAGCAUGCGUCCCAUUAGCUAGAUGGUAAGGUAACGGCUUACCAUGGCUACGAUGGGUAGGGGUCCUGAGAGGGAGAUCCCCCACACUGGUACUGAGACACGGACCAGACUCCUACGGGAGGCAGCAGUGAGGAAUAUUGGUCAAUGGACGCAAGUCUGAACCAGCCAUGCCGCGUGCAGGAUGACGGUCCUAUGGAUUGUAAACUGCUUUUGUACGAGAAGAAACAACAUUACGUGUAAUGUCUUGACGGUAUCGUAAGAAUAAGGAUCGGCUAACUCCGUGCCAGCCGCCGCGGUAAUAC